AGUGAACGCUGGCGGUAGGCCUAACACAUGCAAGUCGAACGGCAGCACAGUAAGAGCUUGCUCUUACGGGUGGCGAGUGGCGGACGGGUGAGGAAUACAUCGGAAUCUACUUUUUCGUGGGGGAUAACGUAGGGAAACUUACGCUAAUACCGCAUACGACCUACGGGUGAAAGCAGGGGAUCUUCGGACCUUGCGCGAUUGAAUGAGCCGAUGUCGGAUUAGCUAGUUGGCGGGGUAAAGGCCUACCAUGGCGACGAUCCUUAGUUGGUUUGAGAGGAUGGUCAGCCACUCUGCAGCUGAUACACGGACGGUUCUUCUUGAUUAUCUUGCUGCUGCGUAUCCUGGACUAUGUGCUUAAGCCUGUUCCAGUGCUACCGCUUGCGUGGAUAAGGUCUUCGGCUUGUAAAGUCCUUUUGUUGGGAAAGAAACGAAGCAGCUUAAUACCCCUCUGUACUGACGUUACCCAAUGAAUAAGCACCGGCUAACUUCGUU
rnacentral:rRNA from 1 species